rnacentral:rRNA from 1 species
UACGUAGGUGACAAGCGUUGUCCGGAUUUACUGGGCGUAAAGAGCGCGCAGGCGGUCGUUCAAGUCGAGUGUGAAAGCCCCCGGCUCAACUGGGGAGGGUCACUCGAUACUGAUCGACUCGAAGGCAGGAGAGGGAAGUGGAAUUCCCGGUGUAGUGGUGAAAUGCGUAGAUAUGCGGAGGAACACCGAUGGCGAAGGCAAUCCCCUGGGCCUGCACUGACGCUCAUGCACGAAAGCGUGGGGAGCAAACAGG